rnacentral:rRNA from 1 species
GCACCCGCGGUAAUUCCAGCACCAAUAGCGUAUAUUAAUGCUGCUGCAGUUAAAAAGCUCGUACUUGGAUCAAGAGUCGGACAGUGCAAGGUGGCCCUGUCUGUCCAGUUUGGUUCCGAUCAAGCUGGCGGCAGCGGGUAAACCCCUUGCGCCAAACUGUCCGCUCUCAACAGACCGAAACGGUUCCCUGUGAGUAGGUCCCUUAAUUGGAAUCGAAAGCGCCUACGCAUCAACCAUAUGCAUACGGGACGUCGGUCAAAGUUACUGUGAACAAACCAGCGUGUCCAAAGCAGGCUUGCGCCUGAAUGUUCGAGCAUGGAAUAACAAGGGAUCGAUCCUCUCGGUUCUUUUUGUUGGUUUUUAACCCGAGAAGGAGUAAUUCAGGCCACGGUGUCUGAGUUGGGUCCCCCUAGGCUCCGGGUCAGGCCCCAAUUAGGCCGUGCUCUAUCGGGAUCAAUAGGAGCUCACGGGGAGAUACGUAUUGUUGCGUUAGUGGUGAAAUACUUAGAUCGCAGCAAGACGAACUUCUGCGAAAGCAUUUCUCAAGAAUGUUUUCAUUAAUCAAGAACGAAAGUGCGGGGAUCGAAGAUGAUCAGAUACCGUCGUAGUCCGCCACUGUAAACGAUGCCGAUUCGGAAUUGCGAGCUCUCAUUAUAUGACUCUCGCAGCGCCACCCCUUUAACGAGAAAUCAAAAUUUUUGGGUUCAGGGGGGAGUACAAUCGCAAGGCUGAAACUUAAAGGAAUUGACGGAAUGACACCACAAGGCGUGGAGUAUGCGGCUUAAUUUGACCCAACACGGGGAACCUCACCAGGUCAGGACAAAGUGAGGAUUGACAGAUUGAGAGCUCUUUCUUGAUCCUUUGGAUGGUGGUGCAUGGCCGUUCCUGGUUGGUGGAGUGAUUUGUCUGGUUGAUUCCGUUAACGAACGAGAUCUCCGCCCUUACCUUAAAUAGGUGACAGUCUCGAAUGUAACCGAGUUGAAGGUUUCGGCCCGAUUCUUGGUGAGAGUGCUGUUGAACUUCUUAGGGGGACUGCGUACGUCUCUAGUACGCGGAAGAGGGAGCCAAUAGCAGGUCUGUGAUGCUCCUAAAUGUUCUGGGCUGCACGCGCACUACACUGAUACGGUAAGCUAGUCUGAUUGCCUUUCGGCAACCUAUCUUGAAGAGGAUGGGAAAUCUUUUGAACUUGCAUCGUGAUGAG